rnacentral:lncRNA from 10 species
UCUUGAACUCCUGAGCUCAAGCAAUCCUUCUGCCUCAGCCUCCCUAAGUGUUGGGAUUACAGAUAUGAGCCACCGCAUUUGGCCCCAAGUUGCCCCUUGCAGUUUGAAAACUGCUUUCACAUGCAUUAUUUCAUUUGCUGCUCAGCACAACCCGGUCAGGUAGGUACAAAGAUUCCCAUUUGCCAGAUGAGGAAACUGAGGCUCAUAGAGGGGAAAUGAUUUUCCCAAGGGAUCUAGUUACCAAGCUAUUGUGUUAGGAUUUGACCCCAAGGUUUUGAAUCCUCAGCCCCCCUGUGACCCACUCCCAGUCCAGCUGCUUCUGGUAGUGAUGGACAAAGUUGCAAGGUCCAUGGUGAUGGUGGGCAACUGUGGGCAGGGUGCAAGCACUUGGCAGUAUCAAGAAAAGUAACCUCCAUGAUUCAUUCUCAAAUCAAAUCAGUUGCAGGCUCCAUUCAAUAGGAUGGGAAGGGAAAGGACCCAAAAGGUAUCUGAGUUGAAAUGCUCAUGUGAAGAACAUCUACCUUGUGAGUUGGGGAAUUGGAAUCCAGUGACAUUCAAAUCAUGUUGGACAGGCUGAGCUGGACAAAGAAGGAGAAUCUAUGAAAUGCUAUCUUGUCCUGGUAGCCUUCAUCAAAGCUGAUUUCAGAGAGAAGAUGCAGAAACACAAGUUUUGAGGCUGCAAUGUACCAGGUGCUAUGCCAAAAGCCUUGAAGACAUCACUGCAUUUCACUGUCUGCAGAGCCCUACUAGGGAGGCCCUCUUAUCAUCUACUCUUUGCAGUUAGGGAAGUGGAAGCUCAGAAAUAUUAAGACACUUGCUCAAGGGGGCAAAGCUGGGAUUUGAAUCAAGAUGGAUCUGUCUUCAAAUCUGAAUGUCUGAGCUCUGAUAUUCUGCCUGCCCCUCCAAAGAGAAGCAUCUCAGAGCUCCCUGUCCCCUUUCUCCCCAUGGCCCAGUGCUGCUUGUAUAGGUUGGGUGAUGGUGGGGAACAGAGAGAGGAAUGAGUUUCUUUAUGCCUUCAACUCGGACAAGCCCCACCAACUCCAAGGCUCCCUCAGGAUGAACCAAGAAGCAGGUGUUAGCCGAGUGUAGGGUCCAGGGUCAGUGAGCACCCCAUUCAGUGGGGAACCCCGAGGGGUGCCUGCUGCCACCUACCUCCUCCUAGCCCUAAAUAAGGUCACUUUGCUAAUGUGUCUUCCCAGGGGGGUCAGAAGUGAAAGCUCCCAUGGGUCUCUGAGCUUCCAAACAGCGACUUGGGCUGUGUGAUCCUCUAGCCGGGUGCCUGGGUCUCUCUAACUAAGAGCAGGCUCCUUGGGGAGCAUGUCCAUUUGGACUUUGCACCCCCAGCUCGCGGCAGUGUUCUAGGCCCAGAGAAAGCUCCCAGUGAAUGUUCUUGGAAUAAAUGAGUGAAUCCCUG